rnacentral:rRNA from 1 species
UACGUAGGGUGCAAGCGUUAAUCGGAAUUACUGGGCGUAAAGCGUGCGCAGGCGGUUUUGUAAGUCUGUCGUGAAAGCCCCGGGCUCAACCUGGGAAUUGCGAUGGAGACUGCAAGGCUUGAAUCUGGCAGAGGGCGGUAGAAUUCCACGUGUAGCAGUGAAAUGCGUAGAGAUGUGGAGGAACACCGAUGGCGAAGGCAGCCCCCUGGGUCAAGAUUGACGCUCAUGCACGAAAGCGUGGGGAGCAAACAGG